UACGUAGGAUCCAAGCGUUAUCCGGAAUUACUGGGCGUAAAGCGUCUGUAGGUGGCGCGUCAGGUGAGAUGCGAAAUCUUGUGGCUCAACCACAUAGACUGUGUCUCAAACCAACGUGCUAGAGGUCGGUAGAGGCAAGUGGAAUUCUCGGUGUAGCAGUGACAUGCGUAGAUAUCGAGAGGAACACCAAUGGCGAAGGCAGCUUGCUGGGCCGCACCUGACACUCAGAGACGAAAGCGUGGGGGAGCGAACGGGG
rnacentral:rRNA from 1 species